GGGGAGUUACCAGAGUGGCCAAAUGGGACAGACUGUAAAUCUGUUGUCUUAUGACUUCGGUGGUUCGAAUCCACCACUCCCCACCA
rnacentral:tRNA from 2 species